UGAGGGCUUGCUCUUAUAGUUAGUGGCGAACGGGUGAGUAACGCGUGGGAAUCUGCCCUGGAGUGGGGAACAACAGUUGGAAACGACUGCUAAUACCGCAUACGCCCUGAGGGGGAAAGGCUUCGGCCGCUCUUGGAUGAUCCCGCGUCUGAUUAGCUUGUUGGUGGGGUAACGGCCUACCAAGGCGACGAUCAGUAGCUGGUCUGAGAGGAUGGUCAGCCACACUGGGACUGAGACACGGCCCAGACUCC
rnacentral:rRNA from 1 species